rnacentral:tRNA from 2 species
UGCCCUCUCGUCUAAUGGUAGGACGCCAGAUUCUGGAUCUGGUUGUCGUGGUUCGAAUCCACGGGGGGCAGCCA